rnacentral:rRNA from 1 species
UUUUUCUGGUAAGGGAUGGGCUCGCGGCCUAUCAGCUUGUUGGUGGGGUGAUGGCCUACCAAGGCUUUGACGGGUAGCCGGCCUGAGAGGGUGGACGGUCACACUGGGACUGAGAUACGGCCCAGACUCCUACGGGAGGCAGCAGUGGGGAAUAUUGCACAAUGGGCGCAAGCCUGAUGCAGCGACGCCGCGUGAGGGAUGAAGGCCUUCGGGUUGUAAACCUCUUUCGUCAGGGAACAAGGCACUACGUUUUGGUGGUGUUGAGGGUACCUGGAUAAGAAGCGCCGGCUAACUACGUGCCAGCAGCCGCGGUAAUACGUAGGGCGCAAGCGUUGUCCGGAAUUAUUGGGCGUAAAGAGCUCGUAGGCGGCUGGUCGCGUCUGUCGUGAAAACUUCCGGCUCAACCGGGGGCUUGCGGUGGGUACGGGCCGGCUAGAGUGCGGUAGGGGUAACUGGAACUCCUGGUGUAGCGGUGGAAUGCGCAGAUAUCAGGAAGAACACCGAUGGCGAAGGCAGGUUACUGGGCCGUUACUGACGCUGAGGAGCGAAAGCGUGGGGAGCGAACAGGAUUAGAUACCCUGGUAGUCCACGCCGUAAACGUUGGGCACUAGGUGUGAGGCUCCUUUCCGGGGGUUUUGCGCCGUAGCUAACGCAUUAAAGUG